GUGCUCAUUUUGGCAGCAUGUAUACUAAAACUGUUAUGAUGCAUAGAAGAUUAGCAUGGCCCCUGUGCAAGGAUGGUACCCACAAAUUUGUGGUGUCUUUUUUUUUU